rnacentral:rRNA from 1 species
GACGAACGCUGGCGGCGUGCUUAACACAUGCAAGUCGAACGGAAAGGCCCUGCUUUUGUGGGGUGCUCGAUUGGCGAACGGGUGAGUAACACGUGAGUAACCUGCCCUUGACUUUGGGAUAACUUCAGGAAACUGGGGCUAAUACCGGAUAGGAGCUCCUGCUGCAUGGUGGUGGUUGGAAAGUUUCGGCGGUUGGGGAUGGACUCGCGGCUUAUCAGCUUGUUGGUGGGGUAGUGGCUUACCAAGGCUUUGACGGGUAGCCGGCCUGAGAGGGUGACCGGCCACAUUGGGACUGAGAUACGGCGCAGACUCCUACGGGAGGCAGCAGUGGGGAAUAUUGCACAAUGGGCGGAAGCCUGAUGCAGCAACGCCGCGUGCGGGAUGACGGCCUUCGGGUUGUAAACCGAUUUCGCAUGUGACGAAGCGUGAGUGACGGUAAUGGGUAAAGAAGCACCGGCUAACUACGUG